rnacentral:rRNA from 1 species
AGAGUUUGAUCCUGGCUCAGGAUGAACGCUAGCGGCAGGCCUAACACAUGCAAGUCGAGCGGUAGGGGACUUCGGUCCCUGAGAGCGGCGCACGGGUGCGUAACGCGUAUGCAACCUACCCUUUACAGGGGAAUAGCCCGUCGAAAGGCGGAUUAAUGCCCCAUGGCUCCUUUGAGAGGCAUCUCUUGGAGGGUAAAGAUUUAUCGGUAAAGGAUGGGCAUGCGUGCCAUUAGCUUGAUGGUGGGGUAACGGCCCACCAUGGCGACGAUGGCUAGGGGUUCUGAGAGGAAGGCCCCCCACACUGGGACUGAGACACGGCCCAGACUCCUACGGGAGGCAGCAGUGAGGAAUAUUGGUCAAUGGGCGCAAGCCUGAACCAGCCAUGCCGCGUGCGGGAAGAAGGCGCUACGCGUCGUAAACCGCUUUUGUCCGGGGGUAACCGCGGGGACGUGUCCCCGCCUGCAAGUACCGGACGAAUAAGGGUCGGCUAACUCCGUGCCAGCAGCCGCGGUAAUACGGAGGACCCGAGCGUUAUCCGGAUUCAUUGGGUUUAAAGGGUGCGUAGGCGGCCCGGUAAGUCAGCGGUGAAAGGCUCCUGCUCCACAGGAGAGCUGCCGUUGAUACUGCUGGGCUAGAAUCUUAGCGAGGCGGGCGGAAUGCGCGGUGUAGCGGUGAAAUGCAUAGAUAUCGCGCAGAACGCCGAUUGGGGAGCCAGCUCGCCAGCUGAGUAUUGACGCUGAGGCACGAAAGCGUGGGGAUCGAACAGGAUUAGAUACCCUGGUAGUCCACGCCGUAAACGAUGAUGGCUCGCUCUUGGUUCGCAAGGAUCAGGGGCUUAGCGAAAGCGUUAAGCCAUCCACCUGGGGAGUACGCCGGCAACGGUGAAACUCAAGGAAUUGACGG